UACAGAGGGUGCGAGCGUUAAUCGGAAUUACUGGGCGUAAAGCGUGCGUAGACGGUUAUUUAAGUCGGAUGUGAAAGCCCCGGGCUCAACCCUGGGAAUUGCAUCGAGAACUGAAUAGCUAGGGUGCGGUAGAGGGAAGCGGAAUUUCCGGUGUAGCGGUGAAAUGCGUAGAUAUCGGAAGGAACAUCAGUGGCGAAAAGCGGGCUUCCUG
rnacentral:rRNA from 1 species